CAGGCAACAAGCAUUUACUAAGAACCUACUAUGUGCCAGGCACUCUGCUAGAUAAUGGAGGGCACAGAGGGAGAUUUUAAUGUUUCAAAUCCCCUAAAUUGAAAGAUUAGACUGGAUAAAGGGGGUGGGGGUGGAGGGGAAGAAGGUUUAAGACUUAGGGACAUUAAGACAUUAGGAAAUGGUCCUACUAUGUUCUGGAAUACCCAGUUCAGGUCUGGAUGCCACAUUGGAGAGAGGAAGCCCAUUGGUAAUCAAAUCAACACUAUCAUUCUGGAAAAGGACCAGUCAAUUACACUAUGACUCAAUCACCAUCCCUGCUGUUCCCUGGACAACAAACACCUCUUUCGGAAAAUGAGAUAUUUGUGCUACAAAGCCCUCCAGCUCUGAGUUUAUGAUAGCCUGAACAAUGUAUGGUGAGACAAACACAAAUUAUUCAUGAGGAAGAAAAGCAGAAAAAUCCCAAAGGAUACCAGUGUGGCUCCAAAGGGAACUCCUCAACAAACCCAGAUUUUAACAAAGAAAGGGACAGCACAGUAUGGUGGGGAAAGAACUGAUUCUGGAGUCCAAGGAGCUGAGUUCAAAUAUUAUCUCUGAUGCUUACUAUCUGUGUGAUCUUGGAUCUUGGUUUCCUUAUUGAUAAAAUAAAGGAUUUGGACUUUAGGAUCCUAGAAGA
rnacentral:lncRNA from 1 species